rnacentral:rRNA from 1 species
ACCUGCCCUAUGAGUUAUUAAAUGGCUGCGGUAUUUUGACCGUGCAAAGGUAGCAUAAUAAUUAGUUUUUUAAUUGGGAACUGGAAUGAAUGGUUGGACGAGAAAAAUACUGUCUCAGUUUAAAUUUAAUUAGAAUUUUAUUUUUAAGUUAAAAAGCUUAAGUAAAUUUAAAAGACGAGAAGACCCUAUAGAGUUUUAUAUAAAUAUUAAUAUUUAAAAAUUUAAGUAUAAUAAUUAUAUUUAUUUUCUUUUUAUAUUUAAUUGGGGUGAUUGAAAAAUUUGAAAAACUUUUUUUAUAUAUGAAAUCAUAGAUUUAUGAAUAAUUGAUCCAUUUAUAAUGAUUAUAAGAUUAAAUUA